UCCCUUACUCGCCAUAGGGGUUUAUUCUUUCUCUUGCUCAGUAUUUUCCUUUAUCUCAGUCUCUGAAGUGUUGGACAUUUUAAAACUUGGUGCUUCUCCUGUCUCAGGACAGUGUUCCUUUCGAUUCCAGACUGCUGUGGCUGUGGUCUCUGUUGUAUUUCUAUAUGAGAGCACCAUUAGCUGGUAACAGACUUAAUUGGACUAGGAAUUAUUCGUACAGAGGUGAGAGAGAUUAUUCAGUGGUUUAGGAAGUGGAGAAGCAGUAUUUGACUGUGGGGUGGAAGAGGGAACGUAAUACUGACACUGGAAAAUGGUGGGAAAUCCUAGGGAGUUCCGGUUGCAUAUCACUUAAGAUGAGGACAGAGGAGGAGGCAAGAGCUGCAGAGUGCUCGGAGAGGAAUACAAAAGUGGUCGAGGGUUGGUUGUAACGCGCAGAACCCUGGUGAGAGGGUUCCUGCUCCUCCGUAGGAGUGACUCAGUUCCCACGGGGCAGGCCGACCGAGCACUGGAGGUGAUUGCUGACAGGAAGGGUACAAUGGCAGUGCUGAAAAUGGCAGUGAAGUCUCCCCUGGUCAGAAGAGUGCGGAAUAUAUCUGCUGCGAUGAGCAGGAGUUUCGCUAUUAGUAAUUCAGGUGAGGCAGUUGAAGAGCUCACCAGUAACCAUCUUCCCAGCACUUCUCUGGGGGAAGGCUAAAACUUCAUACAGCAGAAGCGGGGACCUCGAUGAGGGUGAGCAGGGCUUUCUGUGUGCCCUUGUUGAUCGGAAAAUCAUAUUUCUUUAAUUAUUUUUUUAAAUUGGCUAAAAUUUAUGGAGAAAAUCUGGGUACCGGGGUGAGCAUGUGGUAUGGGAGGAGUCGCGUGAUCCGAACAAGUUGUCUGAGAGCUAAGGAAAUUCUAAAGUAAUACAUACAAACAUGCUGACAAAUGUGAAAGAGAGAGGAGAUUCUUUCAAACGAAAGGCUGAAAAUGAUGACUGGUUGCACAAGGACUGCUUGGGCUUAGGGGUUUCUUCAGUGGUGUGUACUGCGUGCCCUAGGGAAGCUAGAGCAUGCUGACAGCACAUCAGUCUGCACUAUGUUAAUACAAAGAAUUUGCUCCAUCAUCACAAAAUAAAUACCCCAAAACAACUGUGGUUCAGUAACAUCCAUCCUUCUGCACAUCCUGACUGCUGGGUGGGGAUGCAGAGGUGAUGCAGCAACCUUGGCAGUUACAGCCUUAGAAGAGAGCUGAAGAGCUCCAGCCGUCUGUGUAGAAGACACAAGGAGGGCAGAGCAUGAUUAUUGUGGUGCAACUGAAGAGGUCAGGAAUGGAAAAGGAGAGGCAGGGAGUAUGUGCUCUUAAAUAUGUGAUCUCCAAAGUGAGUGGUAUCAGUCAAACGAAGGCCAUUGGUUUUAGGGUGAGCAAAAGAGGAAAAAAUAUAUUUGUAAGGGUCAUGGGUUUGAAGAGCUAGCCACCAGGGAGUGGAUGGGAGAGGACUCGGUGACACGAGCUUAGUAAUGAUGUAAAACCUGUUCCCUCUAAAUCACCAGUUCAUAUGGGCUCUAGGAGGUGGAGAUCACAGUUGGCUGGUUGCUUGGAAGCUGAUGUAAAAUAAAUUGGAGGUCAAAGUCCAGUGGAGGUGACAGUGUCAUGAAAAUAAUCACUGGGAUGGGUCUUAAUUAUCAUCCUUGAAAAUUUCAGAAGACAUACCUGGGAAUGAAUGGGGUCAGAGCCAUUUACAAUAUUUUAAUGUUUUUCCCCUCCAGUCAGGAAUUAUGGUGACCUGCUGUAUAAGAGUUUGCAUUGCUGCCUCUCUCCCUGCAUCUAAUCGGACAAUACAUGGUGCUCACCAGCUGUGAGAGCACCAAGCUGGCACCUGUAAUGAGUUUUAGGCAUUGGCGGAAAAUACUCCCUCAGCCCAGGUAACUGACUGAGUACUGCAUCUGAGUGAAUUUAUUUUUUCUUUUUUUUUUUUUUUUUUUUUAAGUUUUGCAGAAAAAGAAACAAGCGAGCAGAGGCCAAGCAUUUAAUGGAUAUAUUUUUCACUGGCUCUUUUAUCAACAGUGUAUGAAAAAUCCCAAAGGACAGAAGCAGUUAGCUAACCAAUGAGGCAUCAUAGCAGAUUUUAGGUUCCAUGCAGGAGAAAAAGAUGCUGAAGCCCCAGCAGCUCUAAGGGAAAGAGAUUUAAAUUUAGGUUUGGUCCUGAGAAACGUGCCUCCCCUCUGCUUGGAGACCAGUCUGUAGGAGAUUUCUGUACCCCAGAGCAGCAGUUUGGAGGACGAUAGAGAUGUCAGCCUGUGAGUGCAAAUACUGGUACCACUGGAUGACGAACCAGCAGGGAUUUCUCAUUAAUGGAAUGAAUGUUAACAAGAAUAAUUCUGUUUUGUGAGCUUGUGUGUGGGGAAAGGAUAAAUGAUAGGGACUGAUGGAUGGUCUUCACAGGGAUUUGAUUAGGGAGGUGAAUGGCAGUGUGUGUGUGAGAGAGGGGGAGGUGUAUGCACGUGGUGCAUCCAUUGCAGGAGGCAGGCACGCUUCUAGCUGAUAAUGUCUGACAGAGGAGAGUCAGCAGAAGUAACCAGGCAGGUCCUAAGCAAAACCAGAAGCUGAGCAGUGGUGCAGAUACUUCAUUUUUAGGGUCUUUUGCACUGUAGGGUCUUGGGUUUUAUGUUGCAUGGUGGUAACAAACCUGUAUCCAAGAAUUUCUCUAUAAAACUUUCCUCAGUAACAGAGGUUUCCACUUUAUGCUAAUAAAACGUUUGGCUAUUUGAUACUAAUUCCCACAGUCAGUAUGGGAGCACUGAGUGACAGCUUUUCUGACCUGCUUAACGUUAGUCUUGGCUCUGAAGUAACACUCUAUUAGAGCUUGUACAAGCCCUUCCCCAUCCCUGAAAAAGCAGGAGACAGGCCAGACCUACUGGUUGAGCAGCCAGGGAGGCAGAACCAACGGACACAAUCCCUCAUCCUGCCCGAGGCCUUCAGAUGCCACCGGAAUGCAAAUAAGAAAUUAAAAAAAAAAAAAAAAUAAAAAGCAAAAUAGUCACAUAAGCUGAAUUAGGCACUCCAGCGGGCUUAGCAGCUCCAUCCUCAGGUACAGGAAUAGCUGAAAAAACGAAGGAACUGCGAGAGCUGCUCGAGAGGGAUGUAGAAAUAGGGAAGGAAACGUGAAUCCCUUUGGCGGUGAGAUAUGAGAGACCCCUAACCUGAAAACCCGAACCUCUGACGUCUUCGCGUCUGCCUUUGCCAGAAAGCCUGCAGGAGCCCGUCUGAGGCCGGCGGGAAGGCGGCGGCAGGAGGAGAUCCCGACCCCGGGCUGCGGGGUGCCAGGAGCGGGACGGCGGAGGUGGAGACUUGGCUCCGUCCCUCGGCUCGCUGGCCAAAAGAGCUGCGCUGGCACGAGGGAGGGAGUGUGCUGGAAGGCGAUCGCAGCCAAUUACUCCCAGCCCGGGAGGGAAGCAGCGGGGAGAGGAGAUGUGCUCGUUUCCAGGGCUCUGCCUGCGUCCUGGGGCGAUGCUUGCGCCUGCCAACCCCGGGCGCAGGCAGUGCUUAGGGGCUCGAGCUGCCCCCCCAGGCAUUUCAGAGCCGCUGGCGGGGUGUGUGAGCCGUGCCGCUGAAAGCUGGCGUGGCUGCUCGUGGCUGUAGGUGCUCACCAGCACGGAGAGGGGCUCCGUCACUAGCGUUUGCUGGGACUGACAGCAUUAGUCUGGAUUCCUUAUGAUUUCUGAUCUGUAUUUGCCAUCUGUUUUCCCCAGUGGUGGUAUGCAUUUUUUCAGAUCAAAAAAGUGAAACUGUUUACCCAUUUCCCAAAUUUAAUCUCAUAUAUAAAGUGAAAAAAAUUAAUAUAUAAAAUAAACUAUGGUGUGUACCGAAUGUAAAUGAGGGACACGUUUGCUUGCUCUUUCUCCUGUGGAGAAACACAUUACGCCUCAGACUAACCCUAUUGAUUUAGUUGGGGAGCUACUGCCUGCUGCCGAUGCCAAGUCCAAGUGGCAGAAUGCGGCCCCGCAGUGGCAGGUCUCCAUGACUGUGGCACAAAUCCUUUAUUCCCCAGCUAGCUCCACUGAAAUCUCCCGAGGUUACCUCUGAGUGAGCUAUUCAGGAGGAUCCGGGUUUUCAAAACACGACCCCGACUUAGGAGUACAUUUUUGAAAUUUCUGUUUGCAGGGUCCCGUGGUAGAAGUUUACUUUUCCCUUGGUGGAGCUGGCGGCAGAGAAAGUCAAAUGAGUUUCCUAAUCUGGUAUGUUCUAAAUCUGGUUUGUCUCAAAUAUGGCCUGAGAUAUGCAGCGCAAGUGGAAAAAUAACUGCCAGCAUGCAGAUGCAUGUCCUCUCGGAGCAAAUAAAGCUGGCGUUUAAAAUAAAUGUUAAAUCUCAUCCUUGGUAUGAAGGGAGACAAGCCCGUAGCUCAGGUAUGGGGAGAGAUAUUUUAAGGUGGGCUAUGGAAGCAAACUCGCUACUGAGCUUCUGACCUGGCAUACGUGUCCCUUUUUAUCUGCUAAGUCCAAUAAUAAGCUUGUUAUUAGAGGACAUCUGUUACCGCCUGAUAACACGCACAGCGAGCGGGAGCGCAGCGUCGGUGGGCAGCCGGGGAUUUUGGCAGCUGUGGGGAGCGGCGGCUCCGUGGGCUGUUUCACACCUCGUCUGGAGCCGGCGCGUCCCUCCCGUGGGCUGGGUGGGAGGGCACCAGGCGUCUGUGGUACAGGCUGUUCCCACGCAGGGCUCUCCGGGGCCGGCCGGCGUGCCCGUGUGCCGAAGCCGCCCGGCGCGGUGGGACUCCGGGCAACACCUCCGGGACGGGGAGCGGAAUGGUUGGGAGAAACGCACCCUGUGCUUGGGCUCUGCCUUUUCCUUCCUUCCGCACUUCCAGGAGGUGCCAUCCACACGCCGGUUUCUCGCCCCUGAGCCUCCUCGCCUGAAGGAAAACAUUCAAGGAGACUCUCUGUGUGAGCUGAAUCUGAGCGUCGGGAGGUUUUCCCCAAAGUCAUUGCUGUAGAGAACACCUGUUCCCAGCGCUGAAGCAUUCCGAUGGUUCUUUUAAGCAGUAGUGUAUCUUAUUUUCAAGGCAGUCCGAAGUGAAUGGCAAGCUAAAGUCUUGUUUUAAGAAACUGCUUAGUCCACCAUUGAAGAAUAUACUCAGACACUAUUUUCAUUUAUGUAUAGGGGUUUCCUCAAAAGCAAAAGACAAAAAUCUGGGAGCCUGGGGAAUUGGCCAGCUUCUUCACAUUCAGUACACUGAUUCUUUCUUUGAUGUAACUUAGCUAUACUAGUGAAGUUGUUGUCUAUUUUUAAAGUGGCUGUAAAAAAAAAAAAAAAAGUUUGGGUAAACCCCUGCUAUAAAGUCAUGUAUCUUUGAAAAGUAACAUAUCUAUACUUCAUUUUCAAAUAUAUGUGUUUCAGUACUGUAAACUGUACAGAUAGCCGCUUGUAUUUUGUGUGUUUAGACACAAGGAGACAAUCAUGUCUGAGCAUCUAUGGAGAUUAACGGUUUGUACACAACAGUGUGGUUCUGCGAGUUAAAUCCGGAGCAAUAAAUUCUAGCUUUAACUGUUAAUUUGCUAGUUGUUUAGCAGCAGCAGCAACAGCAGCACUGUUUUACCAUGCAUCCUUCCAUAGAGACUUGAUGCCAAGUUUUCCAAGACAAAAAGAUUGUGACGCAUCUAGCAAUUACCUCCCGUCGUGGUGGUGUAAGAGGGGAAGACAUAACAUUUAAAAUUAAUCUUUCAAGCACUAUAUUAGAGUAGUGGUUUGUGCACUUGCAUUGCUUCCAGAGGAGCUUUACAGAGGGGUGUCUCUCCAAAAAUGCUGUCUGGUGUCUGACUCGCUUUUCACUGUGCUCUGAGGUGGAGUGCCCAGCAUAGGUAGAUGUGCAAAACCAGUCAUCUAUAUAAAAGGUUGUUCUAGGAUGCAAAACAAAGUGAGGACAAGACCUUAGAAAAAUGAUGACUCAGCCUAAUUACCCUUCACCUAUGAGUUCUUAUGUAACAUUUUCUGUCAAUGGAGUAAAUAUUUUAUAAAGUGGAAUGCUGUAUUUUUGGUCCAAGUGGAGCUAUUCACAGUUAAGUGAGUUUUGACAGUUGGACUGGUUUGGGUCUCACUUGCACUUGUGUUCAUUUGAGAGCCUGGAUAUUUUUGCGGUAUAAAAAUGAACUUUAAAAAAAAAUGUUUAAAAAAAGACACCGCUUCUCCCCACCUGUUUCUUGGUCCACUGAUCUCAGCUUUGCUGAACGGCUGGUCCCUUAGGCCCCCAGAAGAAUGUUCCGCCGUUGUUCUUCCUGCUCUAGCUGCACGAAGGAAAUGUCUGCUCCUCAAAAAGGCAGCACACGGAGGGAUAUAACUCGCAUGUCGUAAAAAAUAUGGAGGAUACUGAACUUAGGGAUACUUAUUAUCAGUUGAUCAUAAUUUUUUAUUGCUUGGGUUCGUCAUACCACUCAUGAGUGAGAAGGCCAUCUCAUCAAAAUAAGCAAAUGCUGUUGUGCCAUGUAUUUGAUAGAUUUAUCAUUUUAUACAAGAUAGGGCUACCAGUAUUUUCAUAGACAAGGUGCUGGGCGUGGAAAUAACCGGUUAAUGAUGCACAGCACGUUCAGAUCUCCUGUUGUUUCAGCACUUUCUCUGUUUUUCGCUAAGUCCGUCAGCCUUUGGCCCCCAGUCACACUCACUUGGUGAAGCACACGGGAUGGUUGGGAGCGCCGCUGUGUGGGACCUGUGCGGGUGGGGGAGAACUUUGGCAGGGGAGGGAGCUCACGGGACCCGUGGGUGUUGGGAACGGCCUGGAAGGCGAAGCCCGAGGGAUGAGAGAAACCUCCUGAGGUCACACGUGUGUGUCAGCAGGGCCGGGCAGAGCGUGGGUGACCCGGUGUAACUGGAGGAGCGUGGGAGGGCUGGGCUUACACCUGCGUCCUCAGCUUAGGGUCGAUGCACGUGUCUACGUCUUUGCGUUGUACGACGUCCCAUACGUGGCUUCAGAGAUGGAAUGUCACACUUGAAAUGCUUCUAUCAUGCUGCCCCUCUCGCAGUUUGUAAGAGAUCCUCAGUUUAAUACUCAUCCAGUGCCCAUUCAAUGAGUUUUAUGUCUGUUUGUAUGACAGCUGCAUAUGAAUUUUUUUUUGUUGGAGACUUUUUGGUUAGGGCCUCUGUUACUGACCACUAGACCAAUACAAGCUCUGUAAGGUCUUCGCUACCAAAACGCUGAUUGAUUUACAAACUGAAGCCUUAUUUGCACAUCUGGCUGGUAAGCUUGCCUUGCUUUUUGGAAAAUUGUGAUUGCUCUUACAGAAGCAGAGACAAAAUUAAGUUCAGGCUACAUUAGGUGUACAAAGAUAUUCAUAGCAAUGUACUUACUGUCUAAUACCCUAAUGUUGCAUGUCUUGAUGUGGUUUCUUUUUUUGUUUUGUCGUUUUGUUUUAAAGAACUGAUGGAUCUGUAUAUUGUAAUUGUGGUGUUUUACAUGUCAAUUCAAAAUUGUUAAAACAAACAAACAAGCAAGCAAACCUGUUAAUUACUGAAAAUGAACAAGAGUUGAUUUUUCUUUGAUUUACCCAUAUGGUUUUCAUUUUGGAUGUUGUUCCUUUGCACCAUCAGAUUUUUAGAUUUUGCUGAAACAGUAUUUAUAUGAUGUAGUGCGCAUAGAGCAUUUUAAUUAGUGAUGUUUGAAGAAAGAAAUCCCUUUUCUGGCCUGUCUCGCUCCACCCCAGCCCUCUCCCUCCUUCCCCCUCUCCCCCAUUUAUACACAUAUUUGUCAAUCGGGUUAUUGUCAAGUUCUAAUUACCAAAUUUGUACUUUUCAUGAGGUUCAAACUCAUUUUCCAGUAUGAGAAUUUGUAUUCCUCUAUGUCUUUCAUUCUCACGACAAAAAAAAAAAAAAAAAAAAAGGAAAAAAGAGGCAAAAAAAAAGGCAGAACAUACUUUCGCCGUCUUCUAGGUGUGAGCAUUAAACCUAAUGGAAGCAUUUUUGGCAUACCCCAGAUAAACUUAUGAAAAAUGGUAAGGCUGAAAGGGAGGCACAUGUUCCCAUUCUGUCAAUUAAUAACAGACCCUCCCUAAGAGGGAAAAUACUCCCUUUUGUACAGAACCCCUGGUAUGUAAGUCCUACAGUUAAUGUUAAAGAAUAUAAAGUCUUUAAAUGGACUAUAUCUAUAAUCAAAUAAUGAAGAAAGAAAGUAGUUAAAUGAACAUACCAUUCAGGGUCGAAUGCAUUCAGCAAAAAGCAGUAGUGGGUCUUUGAUCAUGGUUAGAUGCAUAGUGAUAUCAAACAGUGGGUUCUCAUGUAACAGCUAAAUGUUUCAGAUUUUGUUUUUAUUAAAUUUGGCAGUUUCACGCUGAGCUCUACUGUAUUCUUAGUGAAUAAAAGACAGCUCCUAUGUUAGAAAGUACUCCAUUUUCACAAUUGCAGGGAACUAGGAGGGUUUUUUCAGAAACACGGGCCACAGAAAUGUACUCCUUUCACAGUGUUCUCCUAUUUCUGAACUGUGCAGUUAUCUAUUAAAUUUUCUAAUAGAUAUUUGUGUAAGGUGUAUGUAUGCUUGUGCAAUUAUGGAAAAAAACAGUUUUGGAAAACAGUGUAUUUAUGAAAAAAAAUAAUCACUUAUGGGGCAUGUACAAAACUGUAUAAAAACAUUCAAUUUGCCCAGUAAAGUUGUUUUUGUGAUAUUUCUGUGUUGUUGAAUAAAGGACUUUAGUAUUCAAAAUAUCUCUCUUUUUCCAUAAACAGGUUUUGUUUGUGGGAUCUUAAACAAAGAAAACCUUUUUAAAAAAAGAAUCCUCAAAAUGGGCAAGAAGCUCCAAAUUCUAACCUCAGUCUUGCGUAUGGGAAUGAAUGCUUAUGAAGUGACCAUACAAUAGCUACAAAACUAGUUCCUUCUCAAUUGGCAAACUAUAGAAACCCAGUAAGUUGUGUACUUGAAGGUAACCUUGUAUUCUGGAUUUUUUUGAAAUAGCAGGAAAAAAAAAACACAACGCCUUUAUGAGACUAGGAAUGUUAUGUUGAGAUUUUGAGGCUACAAAAAGGUUAGUGAAGUAGGAGCAAGAUGGAUUGCAGAAAAGCCUUCAACCCUUUAAUGCAGACCUCAGUAGUAUAAAAGGAGUGGACCGGUGAGGGUGAUGUGAUAAAUUAGCAGGUAGCUUUGCAGGGAAAAGCAUUUGAAGGUGAAAUCUCAUCUGUAACUCUUUGAACAGUCAGAUUAGAUCAUCCUGUUGCUGUUGGAGUAUUUGGGAUCGCGAAUAUGGUUUGUGAAAGAGUGGCAGUAUUAUCUUCCUUUUUGUUUUACUGCUUCUCAGUUCAAAGUUUUGCUCUUUACCUGCCUCAUAAACUACACAUAGCAAAGGAAACAGUUUCCUCUUGCCAUUUUAUUUCCCCAAACUACUUGGCAACAUUAAAGCAACUUCAGAUAGGUGGGAAAGUUGGUGACUGUGCCAGCAGCACAUCACCUGAUUUGGGUGAAAUUUGGAAUGGAAUUUUUCUGCGAAUAUUCCUUUAAUAAACAGAAUGUCUGCUCUUAGAUGCCAAAACAGGAUUUUGAAAGGGUUUGAAACAUGAGGUAGAUCCUUUGGUCUGUGAGAUUCCUUCAAUGUCAACUGAUUUUCCAGGGGGAGCCUUGGUGUAUUCUUUUGUUUUUUUAAGGAAGCAACAAAAGUGAAAGCAAUAGAAGUGGAUUUCCCGCUGAUCCUGUCCACUCUCAUUGAAAUCCAUAAGGAUAUAUGUUCUUGGGAGAUGUAGACUGUUCAUUAGGCAAUGCCAGGAGUGAAUCUUGAGGUCUGUUUGAAGAGGAGGAAAAGGGCUGCCAGGUUGCUCAGGCGUAGUCAGUGAUCUCUCUGGAUUAAAUAUAGAAUGCACAGGGAGGAAAUACACUCAUUUCAUGAGCUGGUCGAUUUGGAAGCAGGAAGAGGUCUCUGAGUUCCUAUACCUUUAAUGCUUUCUCUUUCAACUGUUUUUCCCCUCAAGUAUUGUUUUAUACUAGUCUGAAUGAAAAAUGUCCCUUGGCUCCAGAGAAAUACUUGCCCCAGAUAUGAACCUUGCAGUUUAAAACUACCUCUAGCUUUUUAUAGAUUUUAAUUUUUAAUUAAAAAAAAAAAAAAAAAGUAAAAAAACCCCUGGACAACAAGCAGGUAAUUCUUCAAAGCCAAAACUGACAAUCUCAUUACUGAGCAUAUUUAAAGAAAGGAAAAUACCCUUUUGUGUGGAAUCUCAAUUCUUCUAGUCUGUGUUGGACUCAGUUUGGUUUUGCCACUAGCCAUUUCAGUGCUCUGUCAUAUUUUUUCUAAGAAACAAGCCUUAAAUUAUGAAUGGUCUGGUGAUACAGGGCAACAUGCCUUCUGGGAGGCUCUCAUCCUCCCCAGGUUCCCAUGGGCUUUACUAUAUAGCUUGUGAAAUUGGAGGAUAUUAUAGAGGUGACUUAGUUAUAAGUUCUACCUUACUUUGCUGUAAAGAUCUACUCAGUCACCUGUGUGUGGUGAGCACGAGUAGAUGGUCCCAAAAUCUAUAAAGGUAAGAAAUACAUCUUCUCAGUAAUAACCACAGAACAUACAACAAAGUUUUAGACCACUGAAGCUAUCUGAGGAAAGAAAGAUAAAGUUCAGCAUCAGCAAAGGUAUUGGAAUCUGUUCCCACCGUAGCUUUGUUUCUGUUUGCCAUUUGGUUUUUAGGAUGGAUACCCUUGGCUGAGUAGCUGGGUCCUUCAGCAAGGUAGUUUGGCCUAAGAUAGGCAGAAUUAAGAAAAUGCAGAUAGCAAAUUGUAAUCAUGCAAGACGAGGAUCUAGACUGCCUAAAGGAGCUGUGAUGUUCAAGAAGUAUUUCUAUUGCUCUUCUGAGUUUUCAAAUGAUGUUAAAGGAUUGUCAUAUUAUUCUUAAUUUAAGAAGUAGGAAUAGUUUGUCAUGAUACUGCCCAUUCCCUGAAAAAGGGGUUUUAGAAAUUAGCCCUAAUGGGUUUAUUUCCCACUAAACUUUGAAGAUACUUCUUAGUCUAAUAGGACUUCUCCAUGUGGUUUCAUUGGCCUGUAUAAGGCCCCUUUGACUUGCAGAGUCAAGGAUCUUUGUUAGAAAAUAAUUCAUCAGAAUUGUUGUAGAAAGAUCGGCAGGUGUCAUGAUGUUAGCCAGAGCCCAGAUUAAUUACUCAGUGCAGUUUUCCUCAACUUGGUUUAUGAUGUGUGUAAGCAUCCCACAUCUGAGAAAAGAACGCCUUUCUUCCCUUACUCCUUUAAGUCUGCUGUCUUUACAGAGUUAAUAACACUAACCCUCUGUACUUCUUGAGGAAAACCCAAAACACUAGAAGAAAUACAUCUCUUUUUGGCUAGACAUUUUCCUUUGGAAAGAGAGAGAGAAGAGUUGGCCCAGGUCAGGAACCCCUGUUGCUUUCCCAAAUCUCCUAGCAUGGGUGUUCUCUGCAUUGGUUGUAGCUUGCGAGCAAAGUCCGUCCAUCAGCUUGGCCAUCAGACACAACCCUACAGAAGAUCAACACCAAAGCGCACAGGACCCAUGGGGGGACGUUCCCGCCGCCGCUUCCCUGGUACACGCGACACACACAAGUUUGUGCCAAGAUGUCCAACACCCCUUCCCCUGCCAGGGCGUCAGGUUUGCUAUGCCCAGGAGAGAGGUGAACCCACUCAGAUCUGAUGAAACAGGUAGCGUGCUGGAGGGUUCUUAAGAGAAGGUUUGCACCUCCAGAUAGUGACUAGAAUAUCUCAACCCAUGCGUCUCGCGUUAGCUUCUGAUUUCUAGCUGUGAGUGUCUGAGGCCACCAGGCUUUAGGAAAAGUAGCUGGACUGUUGAGCAUACCUAGUCUCUUAUGCCAACAUUUUAAUAGUCAUACCUAGAGAUUGAUAGUGAAUUUGACCAGCUGAUACGCUGACCAGGAAUGUACUGUUUAAUGUGAAAUUAUAAUGACUGGAUUUCAACCUGUUUUUGGAGAAUUAGUGGGCAAAUAACCUCAUCUAAAGAAAUCUGUCACCCACAUUAGGAACUGUGAACUAAUUAUUGCUUUCUGAUAUUCUGCUCUUACUUGUUUUGCCUUUUCAUCCUGAUUGUUUGCAUUCCUAGGACUGAUUUGCCUUUUUGAUGCAAUACCAUGUGAUGUGCUGAUUAAUUUUUGUGAGCAAUCAUAAACUCCAACCUAUGGCUGACUUGGUAUAUUUUAUGCUACACUCCAUAAACAUUCAUUCAUUUCUUAUGAUUACUUUGUGGAAACAGACUUUUACAGGCUAAUAAACUUGGAUUUGAACUGGA